rnacentral:misc_RNA from 1 species
CCGCUGGCCGGCGCGCCGGCCCGACCGGGGUUGCCGGCCUGACCGAGGUUGCGCCCUCCGGCCUGACGGCCGGCCUGACCGAGGUUGCGCCCUCCGGCCU